rnacentral:rRNA from 1 species
GUGAGGAAUAUUGGUCAAUGGGCGAGAGCCUGAACCAGCCAAGUCGCGUGAAGGAUGAAGGUUUUAUGAAUUGUAAACUUCUUUUGCAGGGGAAUAAAGUACGGUACGUGUACCGUUUUGUAUGUACUCUGCGAAUAAGGAUCGGCUAACUCCGUGCCAGCAGCCGCGGUAAUACGGAGGAUCCAAGCGUUAUCCGGAUUGAUUGGGUUUAAAGGGUGCGCAGGCGGGUUGAUAAGUCAGCGGUGAAAGUUUGCAGCUUAACUGUAAAAUUGCCGUUGAAACUGUCGAUCUUGAGUGCAAAUGAGGUAAGCGGAAUGUGUUGUGUAGCGGUGAAAUGCUUAGAUAUAACACAGAACACCGAUUGCGAAGGCAGCUUACUGGGAUGCAACUGACGCUCAUGCACGAAAGCGUGGGGAUCAAACAGGAUUAGAAACCCUUGUAGUCC